GGAGCUAAUUGAAGUGUCUUAAAGACCGU
rnacentral:sRNA from 1 species